AAAAAAGAAUUCCGGAAGGUGACCUGCGGAAGGAUCAUUAUUGAUUGGCUCCGGCCUUUUAUGUCAUCCCAUAACCUCUGUGAACCUGUUGGCCCUCGGGCCUAUUCCACACAUCUUGUAUUGAACGUGAAGUAUAUCAUAACCAGUAAAACUUUCAACAACGGAUCUCUUGGCUCUCGCAUCGAUGAAGAACGCAGCGAAAUGCGAUAAGUAAUGUGAAUUGCAGAAUUCAGUGAAUCAUCGAAUCUUUGAACGCACCUUGCGCCUUUUGGUAUUCCGAAAGGCAUGCCUGUUUGAGUGUCAUGAAACAUCAAUCCCCUCGGGUUUCCGAUCGGACUUGGACUUGGGUGUUGCCGUACCGGCUCGCCUCAAAUGUGUCAGUGGGAAUAGCAGCCCGUGCUCGACGUAAUAAGUUUCGUCUGGCCGGAUGUGAGGCCCGCUCAUAACCACCAUCUUUCAUCUCUGACCUCAAAUCAGGUAGGACUACCCGCUGAACUUAAGCAUAUCAAUAAGCGGAGGAAU
rnacentral:rRNA from 1 species